ACCUGGAUAGCUCAGUGGGUUAGAGCAUGGUACUGGUAACACCAAGGUCGUAGGUUUGAGUCCCAUAUGGGGCA